ACCGCAGACCGCCUUAUCGCUUUCAGUAAUGAGAGAGGAAAGUCCGGACACCAAAGAGUAGCAUAACGGGUAACGCCCGUCUCUCGUCUUUCGGGACGAGAAGGACCAGUGCAACAGAAAGUAUGUACAGUUCGGCUGUAGUGAAACCAGGUAAACUCUAUGCGGUGAAAUGCCAUGUAUAUCAACGUUCUGCUUCGGCAGAUAAGAGCUACUCGUUCGAUGUUGAAGGGUAGGCAGCUAGAUUCAAUGGGUAACUAUUGAGCAAGAUAAAUGAUAAGGUGAU
rnacentral:RNase_P_RNA from 1 species